ACGAUGUGAAGACCUCCGGCCACUGGCGACGAUGUGAAGACCUCCGGCCACUGGCGACGAUGUGAAGACCUCCGGCCACUGGCGACGAUGUGAAGACCUCCGGCCACCGGUGGCGCUGCGGAGAACCUCCGGCUAAACGCAUGCGGUUUCUCACUGCAUCUGUUGUUAGCGGUUCUCCGAUUCGAGCGGGGUUAGACCUGCAGUGAGAGAUUUAUUGGAAGAAAAACCACGACUGAAGACGAGGGAACAGCAACAAGUGAACCAGCCCGAGGACUGAGAGCAUAAACUGGAGAGGACCCAUCUGACUCGGAGAUUCCAGUGAUUCAGUCAGGAGAAAGUUUGCUGUGCGGACCAACCAUUCAUCUGGGCAGGAAACGUUUACAUGGCUUCAAAACUGUGGCACUUUACAUUGACAGUAGAUAAAAGAAAAUCCCAG